UCCCGCGUUGCCCGCUGGGUGGGGUGGGUAGAUGUGGAAACAGCAAGAGAACUAGAAUUGGAAGUAAAGCGUUGAAGAUGUGACUGAAUUGCUGCAAUCUCAUGAUCAAAUUUGAAUGGAUGAGGAGUUGCUUCUUAGGGAUAAGCUAAGAAAGUGGUUUCUUGAGAUGGAAUCUACUGGUGAAGUUGCUAUGAACAUUGUUAAAAUGACAAAGAUUUAGGAAUUACAGAAACCUGGUUGAUAAAGCAGUGCAAGGGUGUGAGAGAGUUGACUUCAAUUUUGAAAUAAGUUCCACUGGCUGAGUGUGGUGGCUCACACCUGCAAUCCCAGUACUUUGAGAGGCCGAGGCUGAUAGAUCACUUGAGGUCAGGAGUUCAAGACCAGCCUGGCCAACAUGGUGAAACCCCACCUCUACCAAAUUAGCCAGAUGUGGUACACACCUGUAGUCCCAGCUACUUGGGAAGCUGAGGCAGGAGAACCUCUUGAACC
rnacentral:antisense_RNA from 1 species